rnacentral:rRNA from 1 species
GAAAAUCUAUAAAAGGUAAGUCCUGCCCUGUGAGUUACGACUUUAACGGCCGCGGUACUCUGACCGUGCAAAGGUAGCAUAAUCCCACGCCUUUUAAUUGAAGGCUAGUAUGAAUGGAUAAACGAGUGAUUUAUUGUCUCGCCUUUAUUAAUAUAAAUUAGCCUCUUUGUGAAGAGACAAAGAUCCCUCUAAAAGACAAGAAGACCCUAUUGAGUUUUACUCUAUAAUUAUCUCACAUAUUAUUUUUAAUAAAUAUAUUAUAUAAUUCCGAGUUUGAUUGGGGCAAUCUGUGACUACACCCACCGUCACCUUCUAUUAAGAUUAUUAAUCAAUAUUUAUCCACCAACGUGAAAAAAGAAUAAUUCUACUACCAUAGGGAUAACAGACCAAUCCUCUCGAAGAGCCCAAAUCAUAAGGAGGGAGUGGCACCUCGAUGUUGGCUUAGGAAAACCCCCUGGUGCAGCAGCUAGGGAGGUUGGUUUGUUCAACCAUU